rfam:Triticum aestivum genome assembly, contig: Triticum_aestivum_CS42_TGACv1_scaffold_515950_6BS
UGGCGAUGGUGAUAAAACUUAGGCUUGUUUCUCAAAACAUUCGCAGUUGCCGCCUAAGAGCUUUUGCCCUGCCAGGCUUGAGAGCUAAUGCUGCUAAUUCCUUCCUUGGAUGUCUGAGCCA